AUGGCUCCAAACAAAGUGCAGAGCAGUAAUGACAGUAACAAGAAAGUCCAGGGCAAGAAUGGUAAGAAGAAGGUUUUGAAGAAAAUAACCAUUGCUUUGAAGAAGGAAAUUGUUGAAAAGCAUGAGCAUGGUAUUCGUGUGACUGAUUUGGCCUUGGAGUACAAGAUGGCGAAGUCCACAAUCUCGACUAUUUUGAAGAAUAGAGAUGCUAUAAAAGGAGCUAAUGUGGCAAAAGGAGUGACGACGUUGACCAAGCAGAGGACACAAGUGCUGGAAGAGGUCGAAAAACUUUUGUUAGUGUGGUUGAAUGAGAAACAACUGGCAGGUGAUAGUGUUAGUGAAGCUAUGAUCUGUGAAAAAGCCAGGAAACUGCACAGUGAUUUACUGCAAGAAAAACCCUCCACAAGUGCAACAACUGAUAAAUUUAAAGCCAGUAGAGGGUGGUUUGAUAAAUUCCGGAAGAGAAGUGGCAUUCUCCGUGUGACAAGACAUGAUGAAGCUUCCAGUUCUGGCAAGGUUGUUGCAGGAGCCUACAAGAAAGAGUUCUCAGAAUUCGUAAAGGCAGAAGGAUAUGUUGCUCAACACGUGUUCAACUGCAAUGAAACCAGGCUUUUCAGGAAGAAGAUGCCUAACAGAACCUACAUCACACAGGAGGAAAAGGCCCUGCCUGGGCACAGUGAGCAGCAGAGGGCGCUUGUUGAGAAAUUUUUCACUGAGAAAGAGGAAGAGGAGGAUGAAGUUAGCAGUGAUAUGAUAAAAUCCAUUAUGGUAAAAUGGAAAGAGUGCCAGGAUUUCUUUGAGAAGCACCACCCCAACAUAACUAUAACGAACAGAGUGUUGAAGCUUAUGAACGAUAAUGUGGUCUCUCAUUUCCGGAGAGUUAUGCAGCGCAAGAAAAAACAAGUGACAUUAGGCAGAUUUUUUGUCAAAAUCGACCCUGCAGCUAAGAAACAAAGAAGAGAGGAAACCCCUGAAGGAGGUCUACCUGAUGUCCUUAUGGGAGGAAACUCUCCAAACAGUAACCUCCUUCCUACCUUUCUUCCUGUCCUCCAUGCCAAAGGUCUCAAGCAAGAAUACCUGACUGGGUCAUUGAUAAAGGGAACAGGGUUUAUAUUGACUCACCGUUCUGGAGAUGGGGAAGCCUAGGACCGAGUAACCAUAUCUGGUGAGGGCUUUGUGCUCUGUCAUGACGUGGGAAGGCAGAAAUGUGUGUGUGUGUGUGUGUUCUGUUCUGUGUGUGUGCAUACGUAUAAGGUGUGUAUAUGUGGUGUGUGUGUGUGUGGUAUGUAUGUAUAUGUUCUGUGUGUGUGUGUGUAUGUAUAAGGUGUGUAUAUGUGGUGUAUAUGUGGUGUGUGUGUGUGUGUGUGUAUGUAUGGGGACUCUAUACAACAACCCACUCUCGAGGUAACCAAUCCAGUCCCACUAGAACCACAUUCUACCUUUUGAUGACCUGAUCAUAUCUUAAAGAUCCCAUCACCUCCACGUUGUCACACUGGGAAUCACAUUUCAUUAUGAGCUUUGGAGGGAGCAAACCAUAUUCAAAUUAUGGCAAUGUGGCUGUUGGGAAAAGUGCUAAAGUAAAGUGUUAGUUUCCUCCAGUCCUGAAAUUCUCAACUCUGAUGCCACUCUUUUAUCCCUUCCUUUUUGGCUUCAGCCAUUGGAAAAAAGAAAGGAGAAGAGUAAGAGCUGAAAAUUGAGAAGAAAAGGAAGGGAGAGUAAUAGGGAAGGUUACAUCGGCAAAUAUUAAAGAGGUCUGUAUGUUGAGUUAUUGAGUUCAAAUCAAGUGAAAUACAGCAGAGAGCUGCUAUGCUCCUUCUGCCGCGCGAGGACCAGAGAGAAGGCAUCAUCUGUAAACCUCAGCUGACCCCAACGCUGCGGCACCUUGAUCCUGGACUUUCCAGCCUCUGGAACUGGGAGAAAUAAAUGUUAGCUGUUCACACCUCGUCAGAUCGAUGGCAUUGUGUAAUAGUAGAGUGAACGGACUAAGACAAUCCAGUUGGCAUGCGGGCACCUGGUGUUCGUCACCUGGCUUUUCUCCCUUGUCCCCUCCCCUUUUCUUAUCAGCACUGCCACACACAGUAUCUGUGUUCAGCUUGGAAAGGUGGGCAGUACUUAAAGCUGUAAGUAAAACCCAAAAACUACUCUCUAAAGACCAUCAGAAAAUGGAUAAUAGGAAUACGGUUUUGGCAUUUCAAGUGAACCGUGACUUGAAAAAUGACAAGCAUUCCCUGUUUCCAUGUGGGAAUGUCACCUUCUCAGAAGACACUGGAGCACCGCAGAGAUUCCGGAGGUAGAGCAGCGCUCUGUGGUCCCAGGAGACAGUGGCUAACAGGGUUUUCACAGCUUAGGGCUCAGCUCAGGCCUGUCUGGGAGAGCCAGAGCCAGAGCCAGUGUGUGUGCCCUGCCUUCUCUGGGGCUCAGUGUGUGUGCAUGGUGAAGGCACUGGGUAGGACAGUACCCAACUCCAGCUAAGAGAAACCUGGCCAGUGCUUGUGCGCUUUUCUGUCUGUUAGGUCUUGGUUUACUCCUGCACCCCUGCUUUUGAUGCACUCCUCCAAGACCCAGCACGGCUUCUGCCGACUCACGGGAGGGGCAGCUGGCUUCUGUCUUCCUGGGCCCCGCGUGGCUUGCGCAGCUUACAGGAAAGGCAAAUUGGCUUCUUGCUGUGCUCCUCCCAGACUUAGCAUGGCUUCUCUGUGCCCCAACUUUUGAGAACUGCCCCUAGAUAGAUGUGGGGAUGCCCAUUCAAAGUCAGGCCCUAGACUGUGACAGAAUUCGUAUUUCAUUGCUCUAUGAAAACUUCCCACAGUUCCUUUCGGAUGUAGCUCAUCCCACCGCGCAGUUGGGUAGGGCCUGCUGGCCGCCUGCCUGCCCACCAGCUGUCUGCCCUAGCGAGCCCAGGCGUGGCUGUAGAGCUUUCACCUGGAGGUUGAAAGGUUGUGGUUUAUUUGUAUCAAGACGUGCAGUUUUGCCCCUUGCACAAGGCUGUACCUGUCCUGGUGUUGGUCCCAGUUUGAGGGCCCAAGGAAAGGGCAGGGAAUUCAGAGAAGUGUCAGCCCACCCAACGUGGUCACCCGGUCAAUACCAGCACUCACCUACCUCCAGUUUCAUUGUGCAGGGGCAAAAAAAAAAAAAAAAAGAAAAGAAAAGAAAAAAGAAAGCACAGCACUUUUUUGGUUACUUCUUUUGGUUUGGGAGUAUACAGCUGAAUCAGAUUCCUUAUUGAUGAAUGAAAACAAGAGAAAGCUUAGUGUGGUCAACAAGUAGGAGAGAAGCUUUCCUUUUGUGGGCCCAGGGCAAAAGCAGGACUGUUUCAAGAGUCAGUCUAGUGUCUAAUCACAGUAAUCAGGAAUAUUAAUAAUUACUUAGUACCAAAUAAUACAGAGCCCAUCAAAAAAUGCACACACACUCUAGGAAAAGAAAAGUUGUCUGAUGUCUGUUCAGCAGAUGGUGUAACCCUUGUAUGGGGAGCACCUGAGAAUCUUGUAUAUCACAGAAAAUCUGCAACAACACUGCCACCCCUUAGAGAAGAAAUCAAAGAUGCAUGUGCAGGAAUCUCAGUGGCCAAGGUUACCCAAGCAGCAAGCAGUAGGCUCUACUAAUAAAUGUCUGGAAACCAAUAGCCAUCACUUUGAACACUUCUUGUAAUUGUCAAUGGUAGCUUGUACUAAUCCAUAAAUUUAGUGUUAAGAGAUUUAUACAAGGUUUUCUUUUCCUGAGGUGUGUAUAUAUAUUUUUGGGCAAACUGUGCUUAGUCCAUAUUCAAACUUUCUCACUUAACGCAAGAAUGUCUUUUAGAGCUGGUGCCUUUUUUAAUCUCAGGAUUCACUCAAGGUUUGUGCGUUGUAUUUGGUCAUCAUGUACUUCAUCUCUUUUUAUUUUUAGUUCCCUUUGAUUUGUUUUCCUUCAUGACCUUGAUUUUUUAAAAAGUGCAGGGCAGCUCUCUCCAGGACAUCACGUUCCGAAUUUGUUGACAUUUCUUCCUCUUGGGGUCUCCUAUCCUUCUCUGGUAUUUCCUGUGACCUGGAAGUUCAGUGUAAGGACUUAGCUUGUGAACCCCCUUGUGGUUUCAGUUCAUAUCUGCUGGAUUUCUAAUGAGACGGAGCAUCUUUUCAUAUGUUCCUUGGCCACGUGCUCUCUUGUCAAGCACCCUUUCAGCUCGUGUAGGCGUGCUUUAUUCUAUAUACAUGUUGAAAAUGUCAUCUCUCACUCUGUGUUUGCAAGGAUGUUUCUAGUUCUGCAAGGCUGUCUUUCGAUGAACAAAACUUUUCACUGUUAAUGUCCAGUUUAUCGUAUUUCUGUGACUCAUUUGAAAAGUCACCUCUGAGGAUUAUCUCCUCAAUUUGCUUCCAUAAUUGGGUCUAAGGUCCUCCUGGAAGUGUUUUCUUCAUGUGUGGUGCAUGGUGGGGGGUUUCUUUCUCCCCUGACGCUGUUUAUUGAAUGCAUGGUCCUUUCCCCAAUACGCUGCAGGGCCACUUCCUCCGUAAGCCUAGGUCUCUGUGUGUGGGUCAGUUUGGGAGAUGUCUGUUCCACCCACUGGUCUGUUUUCCUCCUUGCACUAAUACAGUUUCCUAGUUACUAUUUGGUAGUCUUGACACCUGACUGCAGAUUCUCCCUCUGUAUUGCUUCAAGAGUGACUUGCCUAAGAUUUUGAUAUUGUACACAAAACUGGCUCAAACCUGGAGCUUCCCCUUUGAGUAGAAUCAUGAAAUUAUUAUACUUUCUUGUGCUAUGAUCCAGGAAGUGACUUACCCAGUUUCCCAGGUGAUCCCUUGCAGAAAUUUUGCCUCCAUGACUUAAAUAAAGUUGUGACUUGAACCAGUGCAUUAUCUGUUAAAUUUUACUUACUGGUGACUUUAGCAGUGUUUUUAUAGGCUGGAGUAUGGGAAUUGAAUGAGAUUCCAGGUGACUAAAUUACCUGAUGUCUGGAAAUGAGUGACUGGGAAUGGGAAUCUAUUUUGAUCCUUCCCUUAGGGAUGUACUUGGUAGUGGGAAGGAAUUCUGGAGUCUAAUUUUUGGGUUGUAUUCUGGGUGUGGUCCUGGGCCCACUAGUUACCCUGCCAGGCGUUUCCUCAUCAGUGACAGGGAUGUUACUGCUGCCUACUGGUGCACGCUCAGCCCUCACUCUUUGCCUUACACAGCCACUGACCAGCUCCGCAGGUGAGGCUCCCACCAGGUUCCUCCGAGUCCUCGCUCAGAGAUCCUGGCAAACACUUAUUUCCACAGCUGUGUGAGGCAGGUGUUCAUGUGGACUGAGAAAGGUAAGGAGGUAUCUUUCUCCAGUCUGAUUUUCCUUUGUGACAUAGAGGACUGUAAACAUGAUGUCUCUUGUGGUUGAGAGUGAUUCAUUAUUAGUGACAAGAAAAGUGACAAAUACGUGCUUCGUUUAUUCUCUCGCAUAACAAGAAAGAGAACUCGGGCUGCAACGGUGGCAAUAAAGGGUUACUGGCCCCAGGUCUCCUUGCUUCUACCCACUAUGCUGAUGGCUGCUCGCAUCGAGCUUAUGAGACGAGUGCUGGGCCAUGUGCCCUGCGGUCCCUGUUUCAGCUGGGAUUGGAUGGGGACAGGGCCAAACAUCCCUCCCCAAGCGCCUCAUGCCAAGGUUUGCCUUCAUAUUCAGGGACACCCGUCUGCAUGGGAGGCUUGGAAUAUUUCAGAGCUGGCACCUUGCCUGGAGUCUGUUACUAAAGAAGGAUGGUAAAGAACAGACAUUGGGCAAGAGGACACAAGUUGUCUUGUGAUCUGAAAGCCCUGCUCCCUUCUCCUCCCUGUGGUGCUGGGGAUUGAACCAAGCCUUGGGCACCACAGGCAACCACUCUGCCCCUGAGCUAUGUCCCCAAUCCUUUUAAAAUUUUGAAACUGGGUGUGAGUCGACCAGGCUGGCCUUGAACUUGAAAUCUUCUUGCCACAGCCUCCUGAGUACCGGAAAUUGCAUGUCCGUACUACUACACUCAGCUGAAAUCUCUGCUUUUUACAGAAAAAAAAGUCCAUAAUUUGUAAGUGCUGCAGAGGUUUCAGGAAUAAGGUGGAGUUCUGAGCAAUGUGGAGAUUCAAGUGCCGUAGAUUCCCAGGAGAACAGCCUGCUCAGGAUGACGGCUCUUCUGCUGUAGCUGGUCAGCCAGGGCCCGUAAGGGGCCUGCGCGGCGGAUCUGUCACCAGGUGGCCUCGGUCAGCAGUGCACAGUGGUCUCCAGGCAGGCGGCCCAUGGAAACCUCGUGCAGUUCCUGCUGGUUGCUUCUGUGUUUCUCCCCAGCAUUGAGCCUGCGGACAUUCUUUGUGAGUCUGUAGCGUCACAGACAUGCCUGGCAGUGCAGUCCUUAGAAGGAGCCUCUAUUUGCCCUGGCAGGGGGUUCCCUGAGCACCAGAGAUUCCCCAGUGGCGUCAUCACUGGAUGGAGUCCAAGGAGGUCCCCAGGGGACCCCAUCUCAUCUCACCUCCCCGUGGAAUAGGCUCUUGUUGCACAACAGCAUUUUAGGAUGUGUCUGUGAGGGGCAAAGAUAGGUUUAUUCAGCAGAACUAAGGAAGCAGACACCAGACGCGAGUGACUCCCCGAGGGCUGGGGCGAGUCCACGCUGUGCCUUUGGAAAUCUGUAGGAUUUGUGUCUGUGGAAAGCGUGGGCUGAAUUUACAGGUGGAAGACGGUGGCCAGUUUCAAGUACCAAGUUCGAAAGUAUAGGCAACAGCUGUGAAGAUAAUAAGAUUCAUUAUGACGCCCAUUCUGGUUGACUAUUAUCUUCUUUUGAAGACCUGUAAUGUCUCCAUUGUUUUGGUUUUAUUGGUUUUGUUCUUUACUAUUUUGUUCAAUUUUAUUAUAACUGAUGAUAUAGGCAGUUCUUUUUAAGAUAGCAAGAGGCAUUAUGGUAACCAUUGUUGAUCACUGUUGUAGUCCGGGGUUAUACAGAGAGAACAGUUCAGAUCAGGACAUGGAGUUUAUAAUAUUUUUAUAAUGGUCACUGGAAGUUAACACAGGAGAAUGCAGGAAAUCCAUCUGCAACACCAAGGCAUAGAUUAUUUACCCAAGAGUCUAAACCCCAUGGCAAGUCCCACAUGAGUCCAGAUAAAAACCCAGAGCUCAGAACAACGCCUCCAUGAGUCCAACUGGAAGUCCAGAGCCCACAAGAAGGACUCACGCCAGUCUCUUUUACGGAUUCGUGCCUGGAAGACCCAAGGGUCAGCGGUGGAAGCUAGAAAGUCUAUGCCAGCAGGAUGAAGGAGCUGUGCUAGUGGGAUGAGGGUUCCACACUGGAGCCGAGAAGUCACACUCACAACAAAGAGCGGGGCUGUCCUGAAAGGCACCACAGCUGUCCUCAGUGACACAGAGGCCCCGAGCUCCUCCGACAACAAGUACAGUCGGGUACGUGCCAGGCAGCAGCGUGACGAGUUCAUCCUGGAGACCAGGCAGCACAUGUCUUCCCCUCCGGAGCCAGGAAACAAUGCUCGAUGUGAAGAUCAAAGUUUCUCCAGGAGAACCAACAGCUCAGACAGCAACUCGUAGGAGAACCAACAAUGUCUCCAUAAUGCCUCAGUCCCUCUCCAACACCUCUCUUCUCCACCUAUUUAUCCUGGCAGCCCUCCUCAGGUGGAGCAUCUUCUCUCAAUGCAUGCUGAUGUAAUCCAGCUGGCGUUAAGUUGACCACUAGUUAUCGAACCAUAACAAUCACCUUGUAUUAUGUUUUUACAUUUUAUAUUAUGUCCAUCCUUUUGAUUUGACUGACUCUGUUCUGUUAUGUCACAUUUGGUUUUACUCUCUUUAGAAAAAAGUAAUAAGAACUGUGGGAGCAAUAAAACCCAAAAUGUGUAAUUGUCAUUGUACAAAAGAGGAAAAGAAAGUGCUCUAAAGGAUAUAACUGCAUGUGUCUUUAAGUGUAUAACAUAGAUAACCAUAUUACUGAGUUUCAUUGGAUCAUUGAACAGAACUGUUUGUAGUCUUACUGUUUGAAUGUCCACUUUAUAUGCUUUAAUUUUGUAACUUGAACAAAUGUUUCUAAGAUGACAAUAUGUAAUCUAUUAACUAGUGAUUUCCUACUGUUUAUUUUUUUCUGAAAUUCUGUAUAACUUGUACCCUUUUUCUGCUUUUUUUUUUUUUCUCCUUAAAAUUAAAAAAAAAAAAAGAUCUACUUCACUGGGAAGUAACAAUAGUUCUAAAUUUUAUGUCCCUAACAGCACAGCAUUACGAUAUUUAAAGCAAAAUGACAAAUCUACUAGGAGCAUUACUAUUAUUAGCACAUUACUUUCAAUACAUUUUGGAGCGUGCAGACAAAAAACCAGUGGAAUACAGUGAUUGAACAGUACACUUAGCAAACAUUCUAGCAAUGCCAAGUAGGAACAAUUGUGGAAUAUACGCCCUUUUCAGUACUUACAGCAUAUUAGUAAAAUUGGUAGCAAAAUUAGAUCACAAAUAAAAUUACUAAAAUUUUAAAUAUUUGAUGUUGAACAAACCACAUUCUUUGACAACAGUCUAAUUGUAAGAUAUAAAUAGGUAAAACAAAACAAAACAACCCGGCAUCAUUCAGUGUUCAGAAACAACACUAGCUAUUUUAAGCAGAAAGGGGCUGAGCCCUGGGAUCUGAGUGAUUACAAAGCUGCUGAAAGAGAUAGAGAAUUUAACUUUAGUUGGGGCUUCCAGAGCUGAUGCCAGAACAGAAUCCCCAAGGGCAGAUGCUUCGGCAUCUGCUCUGCCCAAGGCAGCGGGCCGGGGACCAGGACAGCUGUGGGUAAGCGGGUAGGACUCUGUGGUGGCACUGGGAACCAUGGAGUUGAAGAGCAGACUACCAGGCUGUGACCCACAUGUCUCCGUGCAUUCAGGCUGCUGUAAUAAAAAACCUUAGAAUGGACAAUUUGUAAACAACAGAAAUUUACUUCUCAUAUUCCUGGAGGCUGGGUUUCCCAAGAUCGAGGGGCCAGCAGAUGUAGUGUCUGUUGAUGACUUCGUCCUGUGUCCACACCUUCGCUUGGGGUCCCUGUGGCAUGGAGGAGGGGAACAGACUUCCACAGGCCUCUCUCCUUUUGGGUUCUGCCUUUACCCCCAAUCAUCUUGCAGAGGUCCCAAGUUUCAACAUAUGAAUUCUGGGAGUGAGGCAUGGAUACACCAUGAUACAGGGGUCAGGAAGCAGUGACCAGGUGUGAGAACUUGAGUUCCUGUGAGCAUCAUCAAAACUAACUCUCAGUGGGGUUGAGGGGUGGGUAAAGAAGAAAGGUGGUACAUGAAUGCUGCUGAAGAGGCAAACAAGCACCCAUAACCUCACUUCCUUGCUUGAACUUUUUCAGUCACAUGAAGGCAUGUGUGAUGGAAGCACCUAAGUCACCUUCAGAACUAUAGCUGCAAGAGAGCCUGACAAAGGAGCUGUUUAACAUCCCAGCUCUGAAGUAUUUCUUUAGUAUAUUAAGAGAGAUUUGGCAUGCACAAUAAAUGCUAAUUUAUCCAAUCUAUCCCCACUCAUAGGUCAAACAAAAAUUCCUGAUGUAAAAAUUUAGCUGCGCACAGUGGCACAUACCUGUAAACCCAGCAUCAGGAGGCUGAGGAAGGAGGGUUGAGUUCAGAGCCAGCCAUGGCUACAUAGUUAGUUCAAGACCAGCCUGAACUACAUAAUGAGAUCCUGUCUCAAAAAAAACUAAAAAUUAAUUAAUAGAGCACUAAGUGUCAAAAGUUGUGAGGUGCAGCUCAAAUAACACUCAGAAAUUGGUAACUUCAGUGUUUAGAUCAAAAAGAAAAGAUCAAUACUUGUGGGUUAAGAUUCCAACUUCAAAAUAGUAAGAACAGUAUUACUGGUAUAGGAAGUAAAGAUAAAAGAAAAACAGAAGUGAGAAUUGGUUCAUAGGGGGAAAAAAGGAAUAAAAAAAGACUUUAGAAAAAUUAUUCCAUAAAAGAGAAACUAUAUAAUAAGGAUGAAAAGGGAAAUAGAACUGUAGGUUCUGAGUCUGGCUCGGAGGUGCAGCUUGUAAUGUCACCACUCUGGGAGGCUGAGGCAGGAGGAUCAAAACUUUGAGCCCAGUCUGGGCAACUUAGUAAGACCCGAUUUCAGAAAAACCAAAUCAGACCUCAGGACUGGAGAGCAUAUCUCAGUACGAAGGCCCUGUGUUCAAUCCCCAGCACCAAAAACAGGCAACAAAACAAAACAAAAAUGAUAAAAAAAAACUAACCAAAUCUAAAGAAAACUAUAAGUUGUGAAAGCAUCAUUAUAAAAGGAAAUUAUGGACAACUCUUUACCAGUUUGAAGGUAUAAAUUAUUACAUCUUUAAAAAUAUAACUUACUUAAAUUGACUCAAAACUAAAUAGAAAAAUAAAUACUCUUAAAGCCUCAAACAAAUCAGAUCAGUUAUUAAUACUGUACCUUACAGGAAACACCAAAUUCAGAGGUUUCAGAGGUGGCUGCAACUUUCACAGACCAGAUGAUUCUGGCUCUAAGCAAACCCCUUUCAGGGAACUUAUUUCAAGAGCUGAAUUUUUAAUAGAACUCCUCUAUUUUUAAAUGCUGGCAACUUUUAAACCAUUUUUGUCAGUGCAGGCAAAACACAGUAUGGCUGUGGGCUGGUCUCCGCCCACAACCUGCCAGUUUGUAACCCUGAUCUAAGCUUCUCAGAGGAGCAGGGUGCUCGCCACGGAGCAGUCAAACCCGGCCACUUAGGUCCACGUUAGCCCCCCUUGACGGUGGGAUCCUGGGGCAACAGCUUUCACGGAGGCGCCCGGGAAUGCGUGCCCUGCCAUCUGCACACCGUGGCUGGCCGCAGUGGGCCUCACGAGGACCGCAGGUGUCGGCUUGCUGGAGCUAGAGGGGUGGACACCAGAUGACUUUUCAGGGUUGUCCCCUGGACUCUUUGUCUAAUAAAUUCUAUUUUCUUCUUUUUAAAAAAAAUUGUUUUGCACCUGUACUGAAGUAUAACUGACAAAUACAACUGUGUAUGUCUAAGGGAUCCAACAUGAUUUGAUAAAUGUGUACAUGUAAAAUGAUGAUCACAAAUCCAUCACCUUCCACAUAAAACUAACACCUAAAACCUGUGCAUGUUUAUGGGGUACCAUGUGCCGUUUGGAUACACUGUUGUGUAUGUCAGAAUCAAGGUGGCCCUGGCUAUCUCCUUAAGCAGUCAUUAGUACUUCUUUAUGGUGAAAACAGUCAAAUCCUUUUUUCUAGAUUUAAAAAGUCAACAGUACCUUGGCACCCUCUGUCAGCACCCUCUGUGCCAUAGCCCCAGAGCUUUUCUUCCCUCUGUGUCUUGGCACUGAUGAUUGACUCUGCCCAGCCCUGCCUGCCCCCUGCCCUCGUCAGCCUGUUUUAGAUUCCACGUGUGUGUGUGUGUGUGUGUGUGUGUGUGUGUGUGUGUGUGUAUUUGUUGUUCUGUGCCUGCUUAUGUCACUAAGCACGAUGACUGGUUAUCAGUUGAUGGACACUUGGGCUGUUUCUCUUGCUUGGCCUUUGAGAACAGUGCUGCAGUGAACCUUGGGGUGCAGCUGACUCUUCAGUGUCCUAGUUGUGUUUUCUCUGGACAUGUACCCCCUGGUGGGAUUUCUGGACCGUGUGGUGUUAUGGCUUAUGUCUGGACGUCCCCUCAAACCCUCUUGCACUCAUAGGUGGGGCUUUUGGGAGGUGGCUGGAUGCUGGUAUGAGGUAAGUGAAUCUGUCCUCCAACUGGAGUAACGUAUUAUGGGUGCGGCUGGAUGGAUUCAGUGAAGAUUCACUAUGGGUGUGAGUGGCACCAACCAGGAGCCUCAUAGCCUGGAUGGAAUGAAAAGGGGAUAAAAGAAGCAACGCCACCACUUGCUGUCUUUUGUCUGCCCUGCCGUGGACUGUUUCUCCUCUGCCAUGUCUGUCUGCCAUGCUGCCCUGCCUUGGAACCAGCUGACUAUGGAUUGAAGCCUCUACUAACUGUGAGCAAAGUAAAACCUUUCCUCCUUUAACUUACGGGUUGUGUCAGUCAGUGUUUUACUACAGAAGCAGAUUUUACGCAAGAUACACAAGAAAUUGCAUUAUGAUGGUCACCCCAGAGUUGGACGAGGAGUGCAGAGGGGGUCUACACACUGGGGACCAAAGGAUGCAGUCCGAGGUCUGGAGCUCACUGCCGUGUCCAUGCAAGUCCAUAUCAGGAGGCUGAUGGGUCUGCAGAGGAAGGUGAAGAGUCUGUCUGCCCUGAUGUUUAGGCCAAAUGUGAGGAUUGGAGCUCCUCUGAAGAACAGAAGUGAUGUGUCCCCCUCCUUCCCUGUAUACUGUCCAGGCGAUGGGCUGCCCCAAGGUGGGUUCUCUACACUCUAGAACUGCUGAGCUGAUUUAGUUAAGCUUCUCUUAAAGAAACUUCUCAAGUUGACACAGUCAUUACAUGGUUGAUGAAUAUUUUGUCCCAGUAACAAGAAAAGUAACUAAUGCAAAUGGUAAUUGUAUUUUUAAUUUCUGAGGAAACUGCACCAUUUCCCGCAAUGGUGGUACUAACUGACGUUCCUACCAGCACUGUGCAAAUGCUCCCUUUUCUCCAUAGCACUUGUCAUUUAUUACUUCUAAGCGAAGGGAAGGGACAUCUCAUUGUGGUUUAUAUUCGUUCUUUUCUAAUGAUUAGUGAUGGUAAGCAUUUUCAAAGCAUACUUGGUCAUUUGUAUGUCUUCUUUUGAAAAAUGUCUAUUUAGCUCUAUUGUCCACUUUUAAGUUGGACUACUUGAGCUUUUUGCUCUCUCAGUCAUACCCCAGCUCACGAAUUUAAUUCUUUCCAUGGUUCUGGUCACAGAUUCCAUCCCCGGAGUGUGACUGCAGUGCGACCAGAAUCGGGGAAAGGACUCUAAGUUCGUGAACGGAGACACUUACAGCUCCGUCCCUUAUGUGUUCUAGUUAUUAACUCCUUGUCAAACAGCGUGCGGACACCUCUCGUUUUCUAGGUUGUCUCUUCACUGUGUUGUUCUUUUGUUGUACAGCUUCUUACUGGGACGAAAUCUCAUUUGCCUAUUUUUACUUUUAUUUCCUGUGCUUUGCAACGCAGCUUUCCGAAUGCAUCCUUCUGUGUUACCAUCUGAUCCAAUAAUAAACACAGUGAUUUUUCACUCCUUCUAGAUGCUCUGACUUCAGGAAAAAAGCACUGUGAUAUUUAGGCCACGUCUGGGGCGCAGGCUCUCCCGCAGCCUGCCAAUCACUUUUCUCAGGAGAGGGGACAGAGUGCAGGGACUCACAGUCUGGUGCGGGCUGCACCACCCGGUUCAAACCUUGCCUCUGCCACUUCAUGACUCCGCGACGCCGGCAUACCUUCCUGUUCUCAGUGUACAGUGGGAUACACACAGUCCCUCUUCACGGGCACUCACAUUCGACUCGUGAGAAACAAGACAAUUUUACACAAGAGACGCAGCAUGUGUUCCAUGGCAGAUUCGGUGUCCGCACCUUGAGUCUGGGCUGGGCUGGGCUGGGCGGCUCAUGCGAUGGCGCCCUGGAGUCUCCCAGUCUGGGCCCCUCGGGUGUUCCUGUGUUUCCCUGGGCUUCCUUGCUCCUCAGCUGUAGCCACCGCUCAGCCUGAGCUUAUUCAGUCCCUUGAUGUCUGCAGAGGGGCUAGUGAGCCAGCUCCUCAGCUGACUGGCGCAGGACAAGUGGCUGUUGUUUCUGGAGGUUCCGGGUGAGCCACAGGAGCAGCUGAUGUUUAUCGAGGUCCCCACGUGCACCCACUUCACCCUCAUCACUGUAGGUACGAGGCAGUUUAUUUAACGGAAACGUAAUGGACAGAGAAAUUAGACAGAGCGCAAUGAGAAUAAUAAAAUCUUAAUGUGCAAAAUUUGAAAUAAAGUAAAUUUCUACCUGUGCCUCCCCCAGACCUAAAGUCUGGGAAGAUGGGGGAGGUCAAGGGUACAGCACUGGGUACACUCAGGGUGAUGGUGGAGUUUGUCACAUGCUGUGCCUACUUGGCAGGAGUGUCGGACCGAACAUGGUCUGGACUAACUUCAGCGACUGAGUUUUGCAGAAUGUGGCGUCUCUGCCGAAUCCUUCAUAUAAAGAGCACCGUCAUCAUGGUCAGCCACUCAGAGAUGAGAAGUAGGGUGGUCAGGGCCACACAGGCGGGGACUGAGCCCGAAGGUGGCCCGGAGGGUGAACAGGCUCCCCACGGCCUGAAUGUUUUUUCUUCAGCCCAGCAGACUUCUCAGGAAGAUAAAACCACUGUACAAGGUUCAAGUCAUUUUUCUUCAGGCCGAGAGGAUCAGCCAGGGCGGGGAGUCCUGCCCACUGCUCUUUGUACUCAGGUGCUAGACUUGCUGGUGAGUUAGGAGCUUGGUUUGCAUAUUUCCCGGACCCUUGAUAGUCUUAACCCGGUACAGCUGGGAAUGCUCUCGGUCUCUGAUCGCUAUGCCUGGCGUUUCCUACAUUAUAUCUGUUUCCUUUACUGUUUUGGAUUGCCUUUUCUUUUCGUUUUCCUUUUCUCUGUCUAUCUCUGUUUUCCUCAGCCCUUUCAGCUCUUUAAAGCUGUCAGUGAUACAGAGAGGCACGGGGCACCGUACCUGGAUCUCUGAGCUUUGGCUCCUACAAACCCGAGGUCUUCCCAUGGAUUCCUCGGACUUUCUGGGCUCUUCAGUCAAUUCCUGGCCUUUUGUCUCCCUCUAGUGGCCACCACAUUUACUGCUUCAUCUGGUGACAGCUUGCACCCCAGCUUAUGCAGGGAGCAGUUACCCAGGAAAAGCCUUUAAAAGCCUGUGGUCAGAGCACUGCGUUUUGAAAGGUUCCAGGCUCCUUUGUAAUAUUAAGCUAUGUGCUCGAAGUUUCUAUAUGUUUAAGUGAAUUAUUUGAAGCAAUAAAGGAAAGGUCUACUCUGAACAAGUAGACUUCCAUCCAGCUGAGCCUUGUUCUAACAGGUAUGUCUCCUCUCUGUAUUAAUGAGAAAUCAAUAUGUCAGUCGACAAACAUUUACUGAGAAUCCACCAAGCACUGCACACACUUCUGUACGCUAGGAUGUGUGAUAGGUGGAAGAAACAUCCAAGCCCUCAUGCCAAAUUUCUGACUGUUCUGCUACUGUCAGCAUCAACAAACCUAAUGUGCUACUUACCUGCCUUGUGGGAAGAGGAAGAGCCCUGUUGCCCUUUCUGUUUUUUUUUUUUAAGACAGGCUCUCACUGAUGGGGGCUGGCCUCGAACUCACAGCAGUCCUCCUGCCUCAGCCUGCCAAGUGCCGGGAUUACAGCUGUGUGCCACCACGCCUGGCUUCUGUUGCCCUUUCUAACCCCAGUGAGUCUACACUGCUCUCUAAACCCCUGGCUUUGUUCAUUGUAAUAUGAUCAGAGAGGUCACAGCCAGUGAGUCCACUAAUGCGAGGUUUAUGGUAACUAAAUUUCUCCUAAUGAAUGAACAACAAAUAGAUUCAGUUUUUGAUGGCAAAAUGUAAAAGCCGUGUCGCCAUCUUGAGGUUAAAGGUUAUGUAAGUUGUUGCUGUUUAAGUAGAAUGGAACCUGGCAGCUCAUGGCAGGCCCUGGACUGGGAGGUCCCCACCCGCCUGCUCGCCCGCCCGUCCGCCUUGGCUGGGAUCUGUGUGGACAUUUGGUGUUUUUAGACCAACCCUAGCCGCGGUGUCCUCGAGGCGUCUGCAGUCUCGGUCUUUUUAAACUUCCAUAAUCUUUCUUACUAGUCAUUUUGCAAACUGCAGCUUCUGAUUUCAACUAGAAUCGCAACCAAGAUGGAGCUCUGUGGUUUGUGGUUGUCACACGGGGCCUCUGCUGACAGGUUGUGGAACUCGCACCCAGGGAGCAGGCCCAGGUGACAGCCACUGCGGCGGCUGGGCUGAGCCUGGGGUGCUCUGCUCCCACCCUGAGGUCCUAGGCUUCCAGGGUAAAUGACAAAAUGCUACCGGCCCAGCUGCCCUGCUGACACAGGGGUCUGUCCUCCAGGCUGCUGUCCACCCUGCUGGCCUCCCCUGGCCUGUGCCCUGGGAGGCCAGAAGUGUCCUCAGGCCAGUGCUGGUGGGAGGCCACUUCCUCUUGCCUGGCACUGAGCACUCAUGUCACCUGCCAGGGGUGUGGGGGGACAGAACUCUCCUCCCCUUCCUCAGAGUGUCCCUGGAGGCUAACGGGACCCAGGAGGAGAGCCGUACUGGCCUGCUCAUCUGGGUGAUACGGUCUUCCCAGGCUUCACAGUAAAUGAUUGAAAUUUGCCCCCAUUGCUAGCACUUUAAACUCUGUAGUUAUUCUAGUUGCUAGGAGGUCACUCUGUAAACAGGAAUCCCCGCUUUGUGAAGGAAAAGGGCACUCGCAGGGCGUCGGGGUUGGGAAGGCGGAACUGGAGCCUUUCAGGGAGGCGCGGGAGCCAGGAGCCCUGGGGCUGAGUGAGGGAGCUCUGGACGCUGGCUCUCAGCAGCGCUUGGGUCCUGUUGGAAAUGCGCAGUUAGACCAGCUGAGGCGGGAACUCAGGGCGCGGUGGAGUCCCAGGAGCUGCGGAGGACUCAGGUCUGAUAGUCUGAGCCAGAGGAAAAUGGAGCCCAGGGGUUCGUGUGAGCGUGUUCUGUUAAAAACACAGUUACUGCAGACAUCUUUAAAAUUCAUGCAAGGCGUGAUAAAAGAUAACACAGUCUUCGUAUUUUAAACUUUCCUUUAUUUUUUACUUAUUUUUAUUUUUUAAUUUUAAAAAGCAAAGCAGAAAAAGUGAUAGAAAUACAGAAUUUUUAAAAAACAGAUCCACACUAGUCAUUAUAUUAUAUACUGUUAUCUUAGAAGUAGUUGCUCAGGUUACAAGAUCUAGGCAUAAAAGUUCAAACAACCAAACAGUGACAGCACAAACUGUUCUUUUUGAUGAACUAACAGAGAAUUAGUAGUAUCGUACCUGCCUUGCACACGUACGCGUACAUAGUUCCAUGUUACCUACAUACCUGUAAUCUUUAACUCUCUUCCUCUCUGCUUCCCCAUCCCAGUAGCUCUUUCCUUUUGAGCACUUUCUUUCCCUUUCAUUAUCACAGUACCUGUUGUACAUUUUGGAUCUUACUACUCUUUCAGUUUAUUAUUAUUUUUUACACUAGGGAGGCACGACACAAUGCCGUGGGUACCCUUAAAAUACUCUCCCUUUCUUUGAACGCACUUAUCCCGCUGCUCUGAAAACCAUUUGCACCAUCCAAGAGAGCAGGGUGGUAGGCGGAGGUCAUCAGAACCCGCCCGCCCAGGAAUGGACGUGUAAACCGAGCAGAUUGCUUAACAUCCUGCGUGAUCCUUGAUGAUAUUUUUGGAAUGAUCCUGCCUGGUUAUUCUGAGAUUCUUCUCAGCUAAUUUAGCAUGGCGGUGUCAGUGGGAAAGGGUGCCAAACUCAGACUUUUACUGCCAAAAAUGACAGUGAAUAGAAUUAGACCAUCAGGAGCGCAAUUAGUUUAGACACGCUAUUAACACUCCAAAAUGAGCACAGAAGCAAAAUGGAAAGUUGAAAGAAAAAUGAAUUUAGCUCAGUUCAUGGCAAACAAUAAAAUAAAUUUCUAGCCAAAAUUUGAGAUAUUUUUGUUUGCAAUGACAAUUAAAUGAAAAUAAUACCUUUAUGCAAAUUUUUGAUAAUCACUUCCACAGUAAUAGUAAAAAGACAACAUAUCUUGACUAAUAAACUAUAUCGUGGACGAUCCUGAGAUGAGACUGUUUCUCUUCUUCAUCCAUCCUGAAAAUGUGUACACUAUAAUAUCCAGUCAUGGCAGUGGUAUUGCGCUGUCCCGUGCACUCCAGCCCGGUGGAGGAGCCAGAUGUGUGGUGUACUUUACAAACAUUUCAUCUAUGUAUUCGCUGUCAGAAAAUACCAGGGUGCUUGAGAAGUAUGGCAAAUGGUUUUCUUUUCGUAAAUUUUGGUAACUGGGGGUCAAUUUAACACCAGCCGAAUUAAAUCAGCAUGGUGCUGAGUGUGGAUGGCCCACCUGAGGAAAGCUGCCAGCAUAAAAGACGUGGAGAGGAAGAAUGGCAUGGGGGCUUUCGUAGUAUAUGCUGUUGUUUGGAGCUGUUGGUUCCCCCCAGGAGCUGGUCAUGCUGGCUCCCCUGCUGUGAACUUGGGUAUUAUCGUCUGAGGAGCUCCAGACCUUGUCGCUGAGGAUGGCUGUGGUUCGCUCUCUGAGAGCUUUGGUCCUCACACUGAGCAUCGCUCUCUGGCCCUGGAGGGGAAGAUGUGUGCCGUUCAGUCUCUAGGAGAAGCUUGUCACGCUGGCUCCCUCAUAUGAAUGCGGGUAUUCUCAUUGUCGCUGAGAAUGGCUGUGGUACUUUUUUGGGGAGCCCUGAUCCUUAUUUUGGGUGUUGCUUCUUGGCUCCAGAGUAGAAUCCUCUACUGGCAUGGAUCCUUCAAUUCCUGGCAUAGACUUUCUAGCUUCCACCGCCGACCUGGGGGUCUUCCCGGUGCAGAGUAAUGAAACAGACUUUCAUAAGUCAUUGUCGUGGGUUUAAGCCUCCAGGUGGACUCAGGGGUGCUACAUGGUCAUGGUCAUGGUCAUGAUCAUAGGUCUUCAACUGGACUCAGGCAGGACAUUGCUGUGGGAUCCAGGCCUUUAGCUGCAUUUUCUAGGUCUUUAGCGUUGUGGACAGGUUUCGUGCACACUCUUGUAUUUAACUCGGGGUGACCAUCAUAAAACAGGAUUAUAAACUCUGUGUCCUGCACGCAGUUGUUCUCCCCGCACCCCCUGACUACAGCACCAGCCUCCCAGUUGUUUUUUCUUUCUUUUCUCUUUUUUCCCCACCAGUGAUAAAUGUGUCAGUCAGCUUUCUGUUACUGUAACAAGCAUCUGGGACAGUAAGUUAGAAAGGUUCAUCUUGGCCCUCAGUUUCCCAGCUUGCUCUGAGCACACAGCAGACCACACCCUUCCCUCACGGAGGCUGGGUCCCCACUGUCCCCUUCGUGGCGCGGCUGCAGUGACCUGAAGACCUCCCCCUGGGCCCACCUCUUCAGCACGCUCUGGGCCAAGCCUUUAACAUACAGGGCGGUGCGGGGCGUUCCACGUCCAGGCUGGGGGCACAGCUGCCGCAGCUGAGGCAGGUGGUGGUGGGGGCAAAGGUCUGAGAGGGCCGCUGUGCGUUUAUCUUCGACCAUCAUUGUGUAAUGACUGAGUAGGCAUUAGAUGGCUACUGAAGGGUCCAUAGUUUUAAUUUUUAUUUUCUUUCUUCAUGACCAAGCUUUGUUUUUAUCAGCCUCCCAUGUCCUGCAGUUGGGACCACACUGAGGUCAGCUAGGGUUGACAGGGUCAGUGGCAGAAGUGGUCCCCAGGACCAGAACGUUUCUCCCAGCCAAGGUCCAGCUGGAGUGGCAGCAUGUCACAGGCCAAGGCCAGGGCUUUAGAUUUGGGGGUCCAUGUGGAGUCUCGGCUCGGCUGUUUAUGAGCUGUGCUGUCUCGGCCUCUCUGAGUCGUAAUUACUUAUUACGUAAAAUGAGAAUUUUAGCUCCUGUGUUGUAAAGCUAUUAUAAUUAUUAAAUGACACAAAACUUAUGCCAUUAUAUAAACAAUGGUAUAUAUGCAUGUUUAUGUUUUCCUGGGUCAUCAAUAGAAAUGUUUGUGUCCUCUGCAAAUGUAGAAGCCAAAUCCCAGCCCAGCACUUUGGAUCGUGAUGGGGUAAAUUAGCUCAGCCUCUCUGAACCCUUCCAGUGCUGCAGCUUAGUGUGCACUCGACCUGAUUUUCUGGUGGGAGGUUGAGGAGAGAGGGUGGGUGCCCCGCGCCACACUGGUGACUCACAGUGAUCCCAGAAGGAACAGAGUCUUUGCCUGUUCCUCUCUCUGCGGUGUGUUUGUCCUCACAGACGUUUGUGUCUCGAUGCUUGACUCUCACUCACGCCUGUGACUGUUUGUUAUUUGUAGACACAGUUGUUUUCUCUGCCUGGUCUGUCUGAA